rnacentral:rRNA from 1 species
CAGCAGGUCACGCAAUUACCCACUACCCGGCACGGGGAAGGUAGUGACAAAAAUAACGAUACGGGACUCAUAUGAGGCCCCGUAAUCGGAAUGAGUACACUUUAAAUCCUUUAACAAGGAUCCAUUGGAGGGCAAGUCUGGUGCCAGCAGCCGCGGUAAUUCCAGCUCCAAUAGCGUAUAUUAAAGUUGUUGCGGUUAAAAAGCUCGUAGUUGGUUCUGCGUGCUACGCUGUCGGUUCGCCGCCUGCCGGUGUAACUGGCAUGCCGUGGCAUGUCCUGUCGGUGGUGUUCGGGAGCCUCGUCUAGGUGGUGCCCUCGGACCGCAAGGUACGAGGUGUUCACAGGCCGGAGGUCCCCCCGUUCGCCUACUCUAUCCUACCUAGGUGCUCUUCACCGAGUGUCGAGGUAGGCCGACACGUUUACUUUGAACAAAUUAGAGUGCUCAAAGCAGGCUGAAAUUUCUGCCUGAAUAGUGGUGCAUGGAAUAAUAAAACAGGACCUCGGUUCUAUUUUGUUGGUUCUUAGGAACACGAGGUAAUGAUCAAUACGGACAGGCGGGGGCAUUCGUAUUGCGACGUUAGACUUGGCAAAUGCUUUCGCGGUGAAAUUCUUGGAUCGUCGCAAGACGCACAAGAGCGAAAGCAUUUGCCAAGUAUGUCUUGAUUGAUCAAGAACGAAAGUUAGAGGUUCGAAGGCGAUCAGAUACCGCCCUAGUUCUAACCAUAAACGAUGCCAGCCAGCGAUCCGCCGAUGUUCCUCCGAUGACUCGGCGGGGAGCUUUUUCCCGGGAAACCAAAGCUUUUGGGUUCCCGGGGGAAGUAUGGUUGCAAAGCUGAAACUUAAAGGAAUUGACGGAAGGGCACCACCAGGAGUGGAGCCUGCGGCUUAAUUUGACUCAACACGGGAAACCUCACCAGGCCAGGACAUUGGAAGGAUUGACAGAUUGAUAGCUCUUUCUUGAUUCAGUGGGUAGUGGUGCAUGGCCGUUCUUAGUUGGUGGAUCGAUUUGUCUGGUUAAUUCCGAUAACGAACGAGACUCUAGCUUAUUAACUAGGCGUUUUCCGGUGCCCUCGUCACCGGCGACACUCAUUCUUCUUAAGGGGACAAGCGGCUUAUAGCCGCACGAGAUUGAGCAAUAACAGGUCUGUGAUGCCCUUAGAUGUCCUGGGCCGCACGCGCGCUACACUGAAAGAAUCAGCGUGUGCCUCCCUGGCCGAAAGGCCCGGGUAAUCCGCUGAACCUCUUGCGUGCUAGGAAUUGGGGCUUGCAAUUGUUCCCCAUGAACGAGGAAUUCCCAGUAAGCGCGAGUCAUAAGCUCGCGUUGAUUACGUCCCUGCCCUUUGUACACACCGCCCGUCGCUACUACCGAUUGAAUGAUUUAGUGAGGUCUUCGGACUGGCGGUAAUCCCUAUCGACUUGUCGGUAUCGAUGAACGCUGGAAAGAUGACCAAACUUGAUCAUUUAGAGGAAGU